CAAUUCACCUGUCUCAGCCUCCUGAGUAGCUGGGACUACAGAUAUUAAUCAUCUUUAGGAUUAGAACCUAAAGCGUAAGUCUAAUUGUGCCCAGAAUUGCUUCCUUCCAGUGGGUUCCUGGUCUCGCUGACUUCAAGAAUGAAGCUGCGGACCCUCACGAUAUUACUCUAGGAAAAUUUACAACCUGAAGCAAGGAGAAAUAAGAUUUCUCUUCUAAAUGCUGAAUUUGAAAGGCUUCAUUGGUAUUGCAUUGGAUCCAUAAAUUAGUUGGGAAAAACUGCCACCUUUAACAGUUCUGAGCCUUCCAAUCCAUGAGCAUGUUGCAGAGGAUGAGAAGUUCAAAAUCAAGGCACUG
rnacentral:lncRNA from 1 species